AUUGAACGCUGGCGGCAUGCCUUACACAUGCAAGUCGAACGGUAACGGGCCUUCGGGUGCCGACGAGUGGCGAACGGGUGAGUAAUGCAUCGGAACGUACCUUUCAGUGGGGGAUAACGUAGCGAAAGUUACGCUAAUACCGCAUAUUCUGUGAGCAGGAAAGCAGGGGAUCGCAAGACCUUGCGCUGAUUGAGUGGCCGAUGUCAGAUUAGCUAGUUGGUGAGGUAAAGGCUCACCAAGGCGACGAUCCGUAGCGGGUCUGAGAGGAUGAUCCGCCACACGGGAACUGAGACACGGUCCAGACUCCUACGGGAGGCAGCAGUGGGGAAUUUUGGACAAUGGGGGCAACCCUGAUCCAGUCAUGCCGCGUGAGUGAAGAAGGCCUUCGGGUUGUAAAGCUCUUUCGGCCGGGAAGAAAUCGUAUGGGCUAAUACCCUGUGCGGAUGACGGUACCGGCAUAAGAAGCACCGGCUAACUACGUGCCAGCCGCCGCCGUAACAC
rnacentral:rRNA from 1 species